rnacentral:rRNA from 1 species
CCUAGUUAAUUUUACUAGUAGUUAUAUACUUAUCUUAAAGAUUAAGCUAUAUAUAUCUAAGUAUAAGUAAUUAUAUAGUAAAACUAUAAAUAGCUUAUUAUAUAAGUUAUUAUUUAUUUAAUAGUACCUUAUUACUUAGAUAACUAUAGUAAUUCUAAAGCUAAUAUAUACUAAAAAUCCUAACUUUAGAAGGGAUAUAUUUAUUAGAUUAAAAACUAAUACCCCCUAGGCUUUUUAGUAAUUUAUAAUAACUUCUUAAAUCACAUAGCCUUAUACUAGUAAUAGUUUAUUUAAAUUUCUUCCCUAUUAACUUUUAAUAUUUAGGUAGUAGCUAAACAUAGUUAUAAUAGGUAAUAGAGGGUUAGGGCUUAACCCUAAAGAAGGAGCCUAAGAAACAGCUACUAUAUCUAAGGAAGGCAGCAGGUAUGCAAAUUACCUAAUCCUAAUUUAGGGAGGUAAUGAUAAUAAAUACUAAUAUAGGGCUCUUUUAGGUCUUAUAAUUAAAAUAAGUAUAAUUUAAAUCCCUUAAUAAGGAAUAAUUAGAGGGUAAGUCUAGUGCUAGUAGCCGCGGUAAUUCUAGCUCUAAUAGCGUAUAUUAAAGUUAUUAUGGUUAAAAAGCUCGUAGUUAAACCUUAGGCCUAGCUAGCUAGUCUACCUUACCGCGUGUACUAGUCUAGCUAGGCCUUUCCCUCUAUAAAACCCUAUGCCUUUCACUAGGCAUGGCAGGGAAAUAGGACUUUUACUUUAAAAAAAUUAGAGUGCUCUAGGCAGGCCUAUGCUUAAAUAUAUUAGCAUAGAAUAAUAAAAUAGGAUACGUAAUUCUAUUUUAUUAGUUUCUAGGACUACUAUAAUAAUUAAUAGGGAUAGUUAGGGGUAUUAGUAUUUAAUUAUUAGAGGUGAAAUUCUUAGAUUUAUUAAAGACUAAUUACUACAAAAGCAUUUACUAAGGAUAUUUUUAUUAAUUAGAAAUGAAAGUUAGGGGAUUAAAGAUAAUUAAAUACUAUUAUAGUCUUAACUAUAAACUAUGCUAACUAGGGAUUAGAUAAUAUUAUUUUUUAACUUAUUUAGUACCUUAUAAGAAAUUAAAGUGCUUAGGCUCUAGGGGGAGUAUAGUUAUAAGGCUAAAACUUAAAGAAAUUAAUAGAAGGGCACUACUAGGGGUAGAGCCUAUAGCUUAAUUUAACUUAAUAUAAGGAAACUCACUAGGUCUAGAUAUAAUAAGGAUUAAUAGAUUAAGAGCUCUUUCUUAAUUUUAUAGGUAGUAGUGUAUAGCUAUUCUUAGUUAGUAAAGUGAUUUAUCUGCUUAAUUAUAAUAACAAAUAAGACCUUAACUUACUAAAUAGCCUAUAUUACUUUAGUAGUACGCUAGCUUCUUAGAGAGACUAUUAGCUUAAGCUAAUAGAAGUUUAAGGCAAUAAUAGGUUAACUUAUAUAGGCUUAUAAUAGUAGGCCUCUAGAAAAAAAAUAACUACUAGUCUAGUUACUUUACUCUUAUAGGGGAAGUCUCUCUUUAUUAGGUAAGGGAGUAGCCUCCGCUGCUUAUUUUAGGUAAUACUACCUAGUAUAGGGAACGCCUAAUAGGCUAAUCUUAUAGUAAGCCUAGGUAACGCUAGGCCGUUGUAAUACGCGCUAAGGGGUAGGCUAAGCCUCUAAGCUAGCUUAAGGUAUAUGCUAAUCCUAUAGGAAAAAAACUAUGCCUUUAUAUAGAGCCCUAAUAAGGCAAAGUAUAUUAAGGCGCCCUAAGAGAUUAGGGCACUAGUCUUACUAGCUUAUAGGUAA